rnacentral:rRNA from 1 species
AUGGCCGCUAAACCGGAGUCGUGUGAAUAUAAUAAUGAUGAAGAUCUUAAAGUGAUUGGUGUGACUCCUAUUGAAUCUUUGUUUUCUAAUAUAUAUCUUGAUGAAGAUGGGACUGGAGAUGAGUCAACUUUAGCUAGAAGGCGUCCCCAUGAUUCAGAGUUUAUAGAUCUUAAUGCAAAAAUUGAUAAAAGUGGGAUUGGAGAGGUCAAAACUUUAAGUACCGAUGAACCCACUCUUUUGGAUUUCAAGGAUUUUAAUUACGAUAAUUGUUGUUUGAUAUAUUUUAUUUCCUUUUUGCAGUCCAUGUUGAAUUCUCCUCAUGCUUUGUCGGGGAGAACAACACCUACGGGACCAUGCGGAUCCCUUCUACGGUUUGGCAGGGAAGAGGGGUAG